GGCCUCAAGUGAUGGAGACACACUGUGGGAGAACCGUGACCGUAUUGGAAUGUGUUCGUACUGUCUGAUGGGCU
rfam:Ictidomys tridecemlineatus contig088432, whole genome shotgun sequence.